CAUGCCCCUAGAGGCAUCACAGGUGUGGCUGCUGUGUCACAUGUGCAUCAAUAGGUGGCAGAGAGGAGAGAGGCUAUGUCUGUACUCAUUGUUCUGAGCUAUGAACAUCUGAAUGAUUAAUACCCUAACAUU